UACGAAGGGGGCUAGUGUUGCUCGGAAUCACUGGGCGUAAAGCGCACGUAGGCGGAUCUUUAAGUCAGGGGUGAAAUCCUGGAGCUCAACUCCAGAACUGCCUUUGAUACUGGGGAUCUCGAGUUCGGGAGAGGUGAGUGGAACUGCGAGUGUAGAGGUGAAAUUCGUAGAUAUUCGCAAGAACACCAGUGGCGAAGGCGGCUCACUGGCCCGAUACUGACGCUGAGGCACGAAAGCGUGGGGAGCAAACAGG
rnacentral:rRNA from 1 species